rnacentral:pre_miRNA from 1 species
AACAUUCAUUACUGUCGGUGGGUUGUGAUAAAUGAAAAAAACUCACCGCCAGAUGAAUGCCA